GUGUUGUAUAAAAGGAGAGAAAGUUAGCACUCCCUUUGAUAAGGAUGGAAGUCCAUUAUUGAAACUCUACAGCAAAAAGCAGAGGCUGACAAGAAUGAUAAAUUGGUGAAAGAACUGGUCAUCUUAUUGU